rnacentral:rRNA from 1 species
AGAGUUUGAUCAUGGCUCAGAACGAACGCUGGCGGCAUGCCUAACACAUGCAAGUCGAACGAGGGCUUCGGCCCUAGUGGCGCACGGGUGAGUAACGCGUGGGAACCUGCCCUGUGGUACGGAAUAACUCCGGGAAACUGGAGCUAAUACCGUAUGUGUCUUGAGGGACAAAGAUUUAUCGCCAUGGGAUGGGCCCGCGUAGGAUUAGCUUGUUGGUGGGGUAACGGCCUACCAAGGCUUCGAUCCUUAGCUGGUCUGAGAGGAUGAUCAGCCACACUGGGACUGAGACACGGCCCAGACUCCUACGGGAGGCAGCAGUGGGGAAUAUUGGACAAUGGGCGCAAGCCUGAUCCAGCAAUGCCGCGUGAGUGAUGAAGGCCUUCGGGUUGUAAAGCUCUUUCGCACGCAACGAUGAUGACGGUAGCGUGAGAAGAAGCCCCGGCUAACUUCGUGCCAGCAGCCGCGGUAAUACGAAGGGGGCUAGCGUUGUUCGGAAUUACUGGGCGUAAAGGGCGCGUAGGCGGUACUUCAAGUCAGGCGUGAAAGCCCCGGGCUCAACCUGGGAACCGCGCUUGAGACUGGAGAACUAGAGUUCGGGAGAGGAUGGUGGAAUUCCCAGUGUAGAGGUGAAAUUCGUAGAUAUUGGGAAGAACACCGAUGGCGAAGGCAGCCAUCUGGACCGACACUGACGCUGAGCGCGAAAGCGUGGGGAGCAAACAGGAUUAGAUACCCCAGUAGUCC